CUGAAAUUUGCUGAACAGACUUUAGUUAUGAGGAUUUUAUUUAACUUUUCAUUACUGGUUCUGUCACUGAAGUGAAUGAGGCACAUACACAGGGAAUACGUCAGUUUCAGGAGACUUCUUUUUUUUAUUUUCUCCUUCAGUUCUCUGUUUUUCAACUCUGCAAGUUAUUUAUGCGAUCUGCACCUGUAUUUCCUUUUAUUUUUUUGCAAUAUAGUAAUCCUAUACAAUUAGGAGAAAUCAUAUAGCUUACUCUACCUAUGGCACAUAUUUGAUGAGAUAAUGGAUGUAAAACUAGAAAACAUUUAAACUGAACGAAAAAGAUGGAUUUGAUGUCGUGAAAUGGCAAUUCUAAAACUCAGGAGAUAUGUUGGUGUUUCUGAGCUCUUACUCCAGUGUCCACUUGUCCAUAGAAUCACCUUUCACUUCUGGGGUCAGAGGACAGCUCCUGGAAUGAUCUCUCAUCUUACGGCAAAAAGAUACAGUAACUUAGCAGUCU
rnacentral:lncRNA from 10 species